GAGGGUCUAGCUCAUUGGUAGAGCAUAUGCUUAGCAUGCACAAGAUGCUGAGUUCAAUCCCCAGUACUUCCU
rnacentral:tRNA from 1 species